GUAGGACCUGCCUUGUUGAUAGUGUUGUUAAGAAGGUAGAAACUAGGGUCUGUAGGACCUGCCUUGUUGAUAGUGUUGUUAAGAAGGUAGAAACUAGGGUCUGUAGGACCUGCCUUGUUGAUAGUGUUGUUAAGAAGGUAGAAACUAGGGCCUGUAGGACCUGCCUUGUUGAUAGUGUUGUUAAGAAGGUAGAAACUAGGGUCUGUAGGACCUGCCUUGUUGAUAGUGUUGUUAAGAAGGUAGAAACUAGGGCCUGUAGGACCUGCCUUGUUGAUAGUGUUGUUAAGAAGGUAGAAACUAGGGCCUGUAGGACCUGCCUUGUUGAUAGUGUUGUUAAGAAGGUAGAAACUAGGGCCUGUAGGACCUGCCUUGUUGAUAGUGUUGUUAAGAAGGUAGAAACUAGGGCCUGUAGGACCUGCCUUGUUGAUAGUGUUGUUAAGAAGGUAGAAACUAGGGCCUGUAGGACCUGCCUUGUUGAUAGUGUUGUUAAGAAGGCAG